GCCGCCUCUGCGCUCAGCCCCGCAGGCCGGGCAUGGGUGGAGGCGCCGGGCCGGCACGAUGAGCGCCCUGGGCAGCCCCGUCCGGGCCUACGACUUUCUGCUCAAGUUCUUGCUGGUGGGCGACAGCGACGUGGGCAAGGGCGAGAUCCUGGCGAGCCUGCAGGACGGCGCGGCCGAGUCCCCGUACGGCCACCCGGCGGGCAUCGACUACAAGACGACCACCAUCCUGCUGGACGGGCGGCGGGUGAAGCUGCAGCUCUGUUUGAAUUUUUAAAUGACAGAGAAGAGCAUGAGCCUGGGAGGACAUCCCAACACCUGGAUCCCGUCGGGGACAUGGGACAGUUUUGUUGGGGUCUCAUGCUGGCGGCGUGGUGGCCGCUGACUGGCGGGUGUGUGGUGCACUCGCUGUGGCUCUGAAGUCCCAGAACCUGUUGUCAGGAAGAAGCACUGG
rnacentral:sRNA from 1 species